GGCAAACUGGCCUCUUCAUAGCUGACCCCUGACUGACUGGCUCCUGGCACACUGAUCUCUGGGGAGCCAUACAUCCGGAACCCCUUCUCGGAUCGAUUAGAGCAUCCAAAUGCUGCACAUCCAACCAUGGGCCCAGGAAACAGAUGAAGAGGAUGUCCCUUUCACAAAGGAACCUUUUUGUUUUUUUCAA